CAUUGCAGAGAGAAAGAGGAAGAUGGCCAGCCCAGCGGAGGAGUCCCAUCUGCAAGGCGUGGGGGCCUCCAGCUGUCUGGGACUGAGUAAACCGGAGACCCGUGAAGAGAGGAAGGAUGGAAGCCAUCCUGCAGCCUUUGCCCGCAUGGAGAAGAGGAGAAGAGGCGGGAGCA